rnacentral:rRNA from 1 species
UAAGGAAUAUUGGACAAUGGACGCAAGUCUGAUCCAGCCAUGCCGCGUGAAGGAUUAAGGUCCUCUGGAUUGUAAACUUCUUUUAUAAGGGACGAAAAAAGGUCUUUCUAGAUCGUCUGACGGUACCUUAUGAAUAAGCACCGGCUAACUCCGUGCCAGCAGCCGCGGUAAUACGGAGGGUGCAAGCGUUAUCCGGAUUCACUGGGUUUAAAGGGUGCGUAGGCGGGCAGGUAAGUCAGUGGUGAAAUCCUAGAGCUCAACUCUAGAACUGCCAUUGAUACUAUCUGUCUUGAAUAUUGUGGAGGUAAGCGGAAUAUGUCAUGUAGCGGUGAAAUGCUUAGAUAUGACAUAGAACACCUAUUGCGAAGGCAGCUUACUACGCAUAUAUUGACGCUGAGGCACGAAAGCGUGGGGAUCAAACAGGAUUAGAUACCCUGGUAGUCCACGCCCUAAACGAUGGAUACUCGACAUACGCGAUACACUGUGUGUGUCUGAGCGAAAGCAUCAAGUAUCCCACCUGGGAAGUACGUCCGCAAGGAUG